UAUGGAGCGUCAAUUCAGCCCAAACCUACAGGAUAACUGACGAUCGGAUUUCAAAAUAAAAGCAUAACUGGCCAGUGGGGGGGACGUCUAUUAAAGGUGCAAUGAAUGACUGAUAUGUUUUACUGAUCUCUAUCGACAGCUCAUGGGAAUUGAAUCAAGGGCUAUGUGAACUCACUCACAUACAUAGACCUAUGUUGCAAUUGGGUAUCCUCGGGCUGUUUAUAUUUGUUUGUCCAUUAUUGAAAUAUCACAUGUGUAUUUUGUAGAUCUCAUCAUUUCACAUCUUUUUUAUUAUCUUUUAGAGAAAACCAUGGUAAUAUCUCCUGCAGAAUAGAAAGCAAAGCACCCAUACUUAAUGAGGUUUAUAACUCACUGAUUUACUAUAGCCUGGAUGUUAUGUUUUGAAAUAUUUAACAUAGUUUUAUUGUGAAAAGUCUGAAGGAAGUCAAAUGGUAUUUGUCUAUUGUAGCUUUAGACUCUUUCCAUGCUACUUGACAUGUGAGUCUGGGAAUAAAGUUGAGAAAAGGACAAGCAGUGAACCCAGUCUCUACUGAACAUGUCUAAUUUUCCAUCAAGUUCCAGUGGCCUAAUGCCAUUGGUCCUUCAGUCAUUGUUUCAGGACAACAAGUUUGAGAUUUACCAUCAGAGACGUAUUUUUUAUUUGGUUUUUCAGGCAGGUCGGGGCCUGCAGGGACAGUUACGUGUAGCUGCCCAGCAGGUCAUUGACACUGGUGGACUGUCACGUCUGGAAAUCAAACAAAGGUCUCCAAGACUUAAACUAACUCAGUGCUCAUAACAAACACCAUAUUGUUAAGUAGAGUAGCCAUACUUCCAUUUCUUCCACAUUGACACAGUCACAAAUAUGUUUUAAUUAAUUAACCGCUUAAUUACUUCUGAACAAAAUAGGUUCUGGGUUUUCUAGUUUAUUUGGGUAUUUUACAUCAAAAUAUAUACACCUUAAGGAUCUGACAUGUGCUUUUAGGGAUGUAAUUAUGAGUCAGUGUAUUGUGAGUUAUGCCUCAGUGCUGUUACAGCUGGGAGCAAAACCUCAACUGCCUACAUCUCUGUAAGCUUUUAUAUGAGAGGUUCUACAGGUUUACACUCCUGGCGCAGCUGUUACAAACAAAACUUAUAAUUUGUAUAUGUGUGUGUAGUUAUCAGUUAUAACUUUUAUUCUGUGCCAUUUUUAUUGUUUUGCAUAUAACUUUCAAGCACAUUUUAAACCAUUAAUACCUCUCUGUUUUUUUUCACCGUAUGAGAAAGUCACUUCAAAUAUAACAGCAGCUUUCGCAUAAACUGGACCUAAUCAGAAUUUUACCAGACUCCCUACCUACUACAUCCUGACCCUAACCUAAAGCAUUACCAGGACUUUAUUUGUGACCCAUGGAAGACAACUCACACCAGUAAAAGCACACACAUACACACAGGGAAAGUUUGUAGUAGGCAGUUUGGCCAAGAUUCUGUUAAACUGAGCAAUGAGUGCGUAUGUGUGAGGGGCCACUCUGCAGCUAUUUAGGGGAUAUGAAAUCCAACAGCAAGGCCGGCAUUCCAAAGUAUUACAAGACACACACACUGAAAGCAAAAGCCUAAAUGAUCUUUUCCUUGAGGCAUAUUCAGUUCAGAUUGUCCUGAGGGAAUGAACAGAAACAAUAGUGAGCAAAGGUCAUUAAGAUAAACUGAAUUUAUAUUGUUAGAUAAUAAGAACGAUAUAGAACAAUUGGUUAUUUGUUUAUUUGUACUGUAUAGCUGCCUAACAUACUAGGUGUGUGUGUGUGUGUGUGUGUGCGCAAGCGCACAAACAUUUUAUUACUUCUUUAGGAUGUUUUCCAGUACAAACACUGACCUUGUCAAGACUAGUAGACCUCAUGGGGACCAAAGCUCAGUCCUAUCGAAGCACCAUUUCAUAUCUAUGGCAUGAAUUGGUGCACUUAUGUGUAAGGUGACACUGGAAUUACACAGUUGCUGUGAAACCAUUUCAUUCAUCCAAUCUGUUCGCUGAAAUUGUUACUUUGAAGAUACCUUGUGCCUCAGGUUUAAUUCUUCAUAUAAUAUCUAAUUUAAUUCCUGCUAUGUUUCAUUCAUAUUCUGUUGAUAUCAGUAUAUAACAUGUAUUACAAGUGGCUGUUAAGUUAAACCAAACCUAAGUCAGAAUGCAGGAAAUGUAUUUGAGAGGACCCUCUGACCCCCACUUAUAAUGCAUCCCUCCAAAUUCCCUCCCUCAAUUUAAGACAUUGCCACCAAAUGGAUACAUUAGAUAGUCUCCAUCAUAUAACAGGUCAGAACAGACAAACGAAAGAUGGCCCUUAAAGCUAUUUUUACCUUUUUCACCUUCAUAAACAGAAAACUACAAUAGUGAUAUCCCAGUUACACCACAACUGACUGAGACCACUGUUCCAAUCUAAUGACACUGGUACAGUGAUUAAUAUUGUUCAUUGUGUGUGUGUGUGUGUGUGUGUGUGUGUGUGUGUGUGUGUGUGUGUGUGUGUGUGUGUGUGUGUGUGUGUGUGUGUGUGUGUGUGUGUGUGUGUGAGAGAGUGUGUGUGAGAGCGAGAGAGAUUGAGGGAGCUCAGCCACCCAUUCCGACUGUGGGAAUUUUUAGUCUACCGGAACUUGACAACAAUGGGGAGGACGGCAAUAGGGUCUUUUGUGUGUGUGUCUAUGUGUGUGUGAGAGAGAGAGAGAGGGAUGUACUCUUUGCCUGCAAGAAAUACACAUCUGCAUCUUGUAAACCUAAAUGUCCUAGACCUCCUUUUUUUUAUUUUAAGGGAAAUAAAAUUCCAUCUUACCUGGACCCAAUUCCAAACAAGCCACUAUUAAUACCUGCCCCUGGUUACACAGCCUCAUCUCUCUCUCACUUUGCACCAGUGAGUGACCAACAGACCCAGCACAUUUGUAAACAGCCCCCUGCCACUGUUUCGUCUCCCUCAUUUCCUCUCAUUUCCUGUAGCAUGGACAUGUUUCAUCAGUGAGCAUAAGGAUAAAAGAAUAAAGUUGGGGUGAGGAGAGCAGGUUCAAAGCUCAGUUGUUUGAAUAUGGAAAGACUCAGUGUUACUUAUAUUAAGUACUAAAGAUAUAGCAUGAUUCAGCAGAUACAGUAAAGUUGCAUGUAAACCCAGGUGCUUUACUUCAUACUAGAUGGAAAAAAGUUAAUUGAAAAAGUAAAAAAACUUAUUUUUUCUGGCUCACUGUCACAUACACACACACACACAUACAGAGACCGGAGGGAAAGCAUGUUUGUGGGGAGAUAAGGCUCCUUUGUUAGCUAGUUGACUCCUAGACACUAUUACAGUUUUUUUCGAUGGCUUAAGCACAAUUUUCAAAAUAGGGCCCGGUGUUUCAAUUCGGGUUCUCAGUGAUUAGAGUACUCUAAGUGAAAUACACAGAGAAAGUGCAAAUAUACAAUAAACCAAAAUUCACCAAACACUACACAAGUCCAAUACUGCAGACUCAUGAAAAUACUAUUUAUUUCUCUCCGUAUCCCCAAAUCAGUCAGCAUGUCAACAAGGACAAUCAAAACAAAACAUUUCCCAGUUUUCAUGCUACUACAGGAGGGUGCAUAACACUGUAAGCUCAGCAAAUAUCAGACAAGCAGAAAAUUCUGUAUCCAGUACAGUUUCAAUGAGGGGUACCUGAGCCUGGGGCCGGAGAUCAUAAACCCUCCACCGCCAUGCCAAGAAAAACUCUUUGAUUGGGUUUAGAAACGGAGAGUAUGGUGGAAGGUAUGGUACUUUAAACUGUGGAUGGUAUUGAAACCAGUUCUGGACCAGAGCAGAGCAGUGGAAUGACACCAUAUUUCACAUAUGCACCAUAUUGUAUCUGGUGCAUGUUGUUUACUGCUGGGACGAUGUUGUGUAAUCGGCACAAAAAUGUGAGGAUGUGAGUUGUGUUGUAAGGACCCAUAUUGGCAUGACGAAGGAGGACCCCAUUCUGUGUAACGGGAGCCCAAAGGGUGAUGUUACCCCCGCGUGGCCCUGGGACAUUGAUUAUAGCCCUGUGGCUAAUGAUAUUUCUGCCUCUUCUUCUUGCUUUUGUCAGGUUGAACCCUGCAUCAUGAAUUCAUGCAGGAUUUCCUCAGCAUCCAUCUGUAAAACUCUCAGAAAUACAGUGAAAGACAAGAUUGUGUAGUUCAGCAUUGGUCUGGUAUACAUUUACAUAUAAAGGUUACGUUUGCAGGAUGCAACAUCACAGUGAUAAAGUGAACAAAACAUUCUUCCACAUACUCAUACUGCAGCCGCAGCCUUCUCCUCCUCCGUGGAUUCCCCCUCUCACCCUCACUCUUCUUCUUUUUUGAGCACAAGCUCGAUUUUGGUUGAAGUCAGGUUAACUCACCUGCUGCAUUUGUAUAGUGCUUAAACCUCGUUUCUGUGUCUAAAACUAAGCAAUCAUGUGUUUGAACACCUAAUGGCUGUGUUUAACCAAUUGGCCCAUAGGGGUGGUCAUUUGACGGGCUGUGCUUAGGAAUAGCAAGGAAGUGACAUCUUGAUAUACUUCUGUGUCUAAUGUAUACAAGUGUGUUUAGUGUUUUGCAGAUCACUGUGUGUAUUGUUUUGCAAAAAAUGUGAAGCUGACAUUGUGCUUAUAGUGGUGCAGAUCUGGGCCAUGUUUUGCUCCUUGAGUGUAAGGUUUUGAUGAUUGUGUAAUACUUUUGAUUUUAGUGUUUAUGCAAUCGAAAAAAAACUUGUGUGUGUGUGUGUGUGUGUGUGUGUGUGUGUGUGUGUGUGUGUGUGUGUGUGUGCUCUUUCUGAUGACUGGCAAUGAAAUAGUUUUCUUUAUGGGAUUCAGUAUGAUACAUUUCUUACUAAUACUAUGUUUUUUUCCCAUCCGACUGAGGUCUGGAUCAUUGGUGACAGCUCUGUCCAUCUUGGGGGCCCAGAGAGCUUUGGAGUCCAUGGGAAACAACCUUGGUGUGGCUGUUAUCUCCACCCACUCGGCUGGGGCGGUCUCAGUUGGUAUGGGCUAUUCCCCUCCUUCAAUCAUUCCCUACAAGGGACACAAACCAGAGAACACAAGCCUGGAGAGAGGAAACAGACGCAGCUGGGAAACCUGGUGUGUUCAGGUUUGCAUGGCUCAUCAUGGAUGUCAGUUUAAUUGCCAUCAUAAGCCACAGAGGACACCGUCACACUAGCAUUUCACACUGCUAUCACUCCCCCAUAAAACCCCAAUACCCAUGUCAAGAUGCUUUCAAUCCAACUGGUCCACAGAGUGAAGACACAUGCCUGUGGAUCAGGUACAUUCUCACAACCAGAUCCCAACAUGCCAAUGUUGGCAAUUGCCCCACCUUUACAAUCAUCCUCAACCGAUGACACAACCAUAAUUAGUCUGAUGUUGUUCAAACCAAGAUUUUCACUAGUUAAUUGUAUAUUUUAACUCUUUGAUUCAAUUCAAAAUGAAAAUAUAAUUUACACUUCUUCACGUUAACAUUAUUAAGUUUAAGUCUGUUUAAUUAUGAUAUAAUUCUAAAUGUUUUAAUGUAUCAUUUGUUUUACUUGAAUGAAUGUACUGAGAUUGUGCUUCUAUAAUAACUGUUAAUGGAUUGCUAUUGGCAAUAGGGGUUUAAACUCUAUCAAAUUUAUUUAUUUGAUAAUUAUGUAAAAUGUAUUGAGUUAAGGUAUAUUUUGAUUUGGCAGGAUAUAAAUAAAACUAUAUAUAUAUAAUGAUGGAGUGAAUUGUAGUGCUAGUCGGACAUUAUGAGGUUCCUGUUACAAGGUAAUGAACAGGUGAAGAUGAUCGCAAUAGCGUGAAAAACAGGACGAAGUCAGGAAAUCAAGCUGGAGACACACAAUGAGCACAAUAUCAAAAUAAAAGAGGAAACAGAACUUCUACUGUCAUAGAAUGUGAACAAGUUAGUUUGCCUCACCAACUGGCUAAAGAACGACUAGCUAAGAGGACCUUUAGAGGCAUUAGAUUGUCAUGGUGUGGUUAAUGGUUGUUUGACAAAAAAUAUAAUAAAUGUCAACCAUCCUGUAAAAAGAAUGGCUAAGAAGCUCAAAUAAUUUCUGUUUAGGAUGAAGAUUAUAUUAAUGUUCCAUAUGGAAUAGCAAAGAGAACUGCUAAAGAACUGCUGAGUUGCAGCACCAUUGUACUGUUUAUUUAUGAAUAUAAAAAUAAAACAGAUUAAAUGUA